ensembl:lncRNA
GCUUUUUGUGCUGUAUAAAGAGGAAAUGUGUUAGCAAGUCUUAUUGAUACCUAACUCGGGUUGCCAUAAACCCCGAGCACGCACUGAGCUGCAGGUCCCACGGAGCAGAUGGUGCCUCUGUGGGUGGUGAUGAGAAAGCAGCACUUGAACUAUUUCAGAGCUUCUGAGAGAGCGGUUGUGCCAAGGACAUGUAACUGGGGGAUGAAGGGGAAAGCUAGCAGUAAAAUCCUUAUGUACCUGGGGAAGCUUAGAGGCAAGUGGGUUCAAUGUAGUGCCCAAAAGCAUCGGGCUGGGAACUACUCCUUCUGUGAAACGCACAACCAAGACACUGGUCUGUUUUCUUUAGUUCACCUGCAGGAAGUUGAAAAUGCUAGCCACAUGGCAGCAGAGUGAAAAAUGUUAUCGCUGCCUUUGAAAACCAUAGGACGUGGAACAGAGAGGGUUUUCCCCUUGGCUCACACGCCAGGAGCGUGCUUUCAUUCUGCCAUUACUGUUGACACUUUGGGUGUGCAGAAAACAUGAGGUAAGGCUUCAUUGCUCAGUCUUUAGUGAAGCAGGAAGGUCUAUGCUUUUUUUUUUUUUUUUUUUUA